ACUCAAAUGAAUUGACGGGGGCCCGCACAAGCAGCGGAGCGUGCGGUUCAAUUCGAUGGUACGCGAAGAACCUUACCCAGGCUUGACAUGUAGGUGGUAGGGACCUGAAAGGGAACCGACCCGCAAGGGAGCCUACACAGGUGUUGCACGGCCGUCGUCAGCUCGUGUCGUGAGAUGUUGGGUUAAGUCCCGCAACGAGCGCAACCCUCGGGUCCUGUUGUAUCCCUCAGGCCCGACUGCCGAGAGAAACUCGGAGGAAGGUGGGGAUGACGUCAGGUCAGCGUGGCCCUUACGCCUGGGGCUACACGCACGCUACAAUGGCUGGUAACAGCGAGUUGCGACAACGCAAGUUGAAGCUAAUCUCUUAAAACCAGCCUCAGUUCAGAUCGAAGGCUGAAACUCGCCUUCGUGAAGUCGGAGUUGCUAGUAACCGCGGGUCAGCACACCGCGGUGAAUAUGUUCCCGGGCCUUGUACACACCGCCCGU
rnacentral:rRNA from 1 species